rnacentral:rRNA from 1 species
AUUGAACGCUGGCGGCAGGCUUAACACAUGCAAGUCGAGCGAGCGGCGGACGGGUGAGUAAUGUCUGGGAAACUGCCUGCUGGCGGGGGAUAACUACUGGAAACGGUAGCUAAUACCGCAUACCAUCAGAUGGGCCCAGAUGGGAUUAGCUAGUAGGUGGGGUAAUGGCUCACCUAGGCGAAGAUCCCUAGCUGGUCUGAGAGGAUGACCAGCCACACUGGAACGUGGACACGGUCCAGACGCCUACGUGAGGCAGCAUUGGGGAAUAUUGCACAAGGGGCGCAAGCCUGAUGCAGCCAUGCCGCGUGUGUGAAGAAGGCCUUCGGGUUGUAAAGCACUUUCAGCGAGGAGGCGUUACUCGCAGAAGAAGCACCGGCUAACUCCGUGCCAGCAGCCGCGGUAAUUC